rnacentral:rRNA from 1 species
UACGUAGGGUCGAGCGUUGUCCGGAGUUACUGGGCGUAAAGCGUGCGCAGGCGGCUUCCUGCGCCCGGCGUGAAAGCCCCCGGCUCAACCGGGGAGGGUCGUCGUGAACGGGUGAGCUUGAGGGUAUCAGGGGCUGGUGGAAUUCCCGGUGUAGCGGUGAAAUGCGUAGAGAUCGGGAGGAACACCAGUGGCGAAGGCGGGUAACUGGACUGCAACUGACGCUGAUGCGCGAAAGUGUGGGGAGCAAACAGGAUUAGAUACCCGCGUAGUCCCUGAGCGGG